rfam:Rhodanobacter sp. 115 contig282, whole genome shotgun sequence.
CAACACCCAAACCAACGCCACACACGCAUCGGCACCGCCUUCGGGGUGCCGCGGUCGUUUCCGCCACUGAACAGGAAACGUCGCGGUCGAAGCCGGGGAUGCGUGGAGGUCCCAAC